rnacentral:rRNA from 1 species
UACGAAGGGGGCUAGCGUUGUUCGGAAUGACUGGGCGUAAAGCGCACGUAGGCGGAUUGGUCAGUUGGGGGUGAAAUCCCGGGGCUCAACCUCGGAACUGCCUCCAAUACUGCCAAUCUUGAGUUCGGGAGAGGUGAGUGGAAUUCCUAGUGUAGAGGUGAAAUUCGUAGAGAUUAGGAAGAACACCAGUGGCGAAGGCGGCUCCCUGGCCCGAUACUGACGCUGAGGUGCGAAAGAGUGGGGAGCAAACAGG